AUGAACGCUAGCUACAGGCUUAACACAUGCAAGUCGAGGGGCAGCAUGAACUUAGCUUGCUAAGUUUGAUGGCGACCGGCGCACGGGUGAGUAACACGUAUCCAACCUGCCGAUGACUCGGGGAUAGCCUUUCGAAAGAAAGAUUAAUACCCGAUGGCAUAGUUCUUCCGCAUGGUGGAACUAUUAAAGAAUUUCGGUCAUCGAUGGGGAUGCGUUCCAUUAGGUUGUUGGCGGGGUAACGGCCCACCAAGCCUUCGAUGGAUAGGGGUUCUGAGAGGAAGGUCCCCCACAUUGGAACUGAGACACGGUCCAAACUCCUACGGGAGGCAGCAGUGAGGAAUAUUGGUCAAUGGACGAGAGUCUGAACCAGCCAAGUAGCGUGAAGGAUGACUGCCCUAUGGGUUGUAAACUUCUUUUAUACGGGAAUAAAGUGAGGCACGUGUGCCUUUUUGUAUGUACCGUAUGAAUAAGGAUCGGCUAACUCCGUGCCAGCAGCCGCGGUAAUACGGAGGAUCCGAGCGUUAUCCGGAUUUAUUGGGUUUAAAGGGAGCGUAGGCGGACGCUUAAGUCAGUUGUGAAAGUUUGCGGCUCAACCGUAAAAUUGCAGUUGAUACUGGGUGUCUUGAGUACAGUAGAGGCAGGCGGAAUUCGUGGUGUAGCGGUGAAAUGCUUAGAUAUCACGAAGAACUCCGAUUGCGAAGGCAGCUUGCUGGACUGUAACUGACGCUGAUGCUCGAAAGUGUGGGUAUCAAACAGGAUUAGAUACCCUGGUAGUCCACGCCGUAAACGAUGAGUGCUAGGUGUUAGGCCCUUUCCGGGGCUUAGUGCCGGAGCUAACGCAAUAAGCACUCCGCCUGGGGAGUACGACCGCAAGGUUGAAACUCAAAGGAAUUGACGGGGGCCCGCACAAGCGGUGGAGCAUGUGGUUUAAUUCGAAGCAACGCGAAGAACCUUACCAAAUCUUGACAUCCUCUGACCCCUCUAGAGAUAGAGUUUUCCCCUUCGGGGACAGAGUGACAGGUGGUGCAUGGUUGUCGUCAGCUCGUGUCGUGAGAUGUUGGGUUAAGUCCCGCAACGAGCGCAACCCUUGUCUUUAGUUACUAACAUCAAGUUGAGGACUCUAGAGAGACUGCCGGUGAUAAACCGGAGGAAGGUGGGGAUGACGUCAAAUCAUCAUGCCCCUUAUGACUUGGGCUACACACGUGCUACAAUGGCGUAAACAAAGGGAAGCAAAGCCGUGAGGCCGAGCAAAUCUCAAAAAUAACGUCUCAGUUCGGACUGUAGUCUGCAACCCGACUACACGAAGCUGGAAUCGCUAGUAAUCGCAGAUCAGAAUGCUGCGGUGAAUACGUUCCCGGGUCUUGUACACACCGCCCGUCACACCAUGGGAGUUGGAAAUGCCCGAAGUCAGUGACCCAACCGCAAGGAGGGAGCUGCCGAAGGCAGGUUCGAUAACUGGGGUG
rnacentral:rRNA from 1 species